GGAAGAUUGGCAGAGCGGUCAAUUGCGCCUGACUUGAAAUCAGGAGGUCGUGUCAACGGCCCGAGGGUUCGAAUCCUUCAUCUUCCGCCA
rnacentral:tRNA from 1 species